rnacentral:rRNA from 1 species
GGCCCUACGGGGGGCAGCAGUGGGGAAUAUUGGGCAAUGGGCGCAAGCCUUACCCAGCAAUACCGCGUGAGUGAAGAAGGUCUUCGGAUUGUAAAGCUCUUUGAUCAGGGACGAACAGAUGACGGUACCUGAAGAACAAGCCCCGGCUAACUACGUGCCAGCAGCCGCGGUAAAACGUAGGGGGCGAGCGUUGUCCGGAAUGACUGGGCGUAAAGGGUGUGUAGGCGGUGUAGCAAGUUAGAAGUGAAAUACCUAGAGCUUAACUCAGGUGCUGCUUCUAAAACUGCUAUACUUGAGUGCAGUAG